rnacentral:rRNA from 1 species
UACAGAGGGGGCAAGCGUUGUUCGGAAUUACUGGGCGUAAAGGGCGCGUAGGCGGCAUGUUAAGUCGAACGUGAAAUCCCCGGGCUCAACCCGGGAACUGCGUCCGAUACUGGCAGGCUUGAAUCCGGGAGAGGGAUGCGGAAUUCCAGGUGUAGCGGUGAAAUGCGUAGAGAUGUGGAGGAACACCGAUGGCGAAGGCAGCCCCCUGGGCUAACACUGACGCUCAUGCACGAAAGCGUGGGGAGCAAACAGG